AAGCUACUUAAACUAGAAAUUCUAAAAAAUAUGCCACCUGCUUUAUUCAGUGCAAGAAGCUUAACCCCUUUAGUGCUUAUUAUUGACUUAUACAGAUAACUUAGUUUUAUGAGCUACUUUCCCAAUGGUCGGUAAAGUCAGUGUUUUCAUUAAAGGUCAGUAUGAAAGACUGUUAAUAAAGGAGGUCAUAUUUCUUUUCCUGGUGUGUUCUCCGAUGGGGCACACUGUACCCUAGGGUAAUAUGAUUUUUGGAAUAAAACAGGCCUGGAUUCAAUCUUCCUGUUAUUUGCUAGCUGUGGCCAAUUAUACACAAAUUACGAAGAGAUUUCACCAUCUUCAUACAGAAUUUAUAGGGCCAUAUAUGACUUGUGUUGGGGGUGGAGAUGCUUUGGGGAAAAGGAAGGGGGCCGAACUCUUCCAUUUUAUAUCCCACUUCCACAUUAACAGCAUUAAUCCAUUCAUGAGGUGGAGCCUCUCAGCACAUUUUAUAAAGUGGGCUGUGAUGC
rnacentral:lncRNA from 1 species